rnacentral:rRNA from 1 species
GAUGAACGCUGGCUACAGGCUUAACACAUGCAAGUCGAGGGGAAACGACGGGGAAGCUUGCUUCCCCGGGCGUCGACCGGCGCACGGGUGAGUAACGCGUAUCCAACCUGCCUCUGACUGAGGGAUAACCCGUCGAAAGUCGGCCUAAUACCUCAUGGCAUCGUCUGCGGGCAUCCAACGACGAUUAAAGAUUUCAUCGGUCAGGGAUGGGGAUGCGUCUGAUUAGCUUGUUGGCGGGGUAACGGCCCACCAAGGCUACGAUCAGUAGGGGUUCUGAGAGGAAGGUCCCCCACAUUGGAACUGAGACACGGUCCAAACUCCUACGGGAGGCAGCAGUGAGGAAUAUUGGUCAAUGGGCGGGAGCCUGAACCAGCCAAGUAGCGUGCAGGAUGACGGCCCUAUGGGUUGUAAACUGCUUUUAUGCGGGGAUAAAGUGAGGGACGUGUCCUUCAUUGCAGGCACCGCAUGAAUAAGGACCGGCUAAUUCCGUG